rnacentral:tRNA from 1 species
GGGAGUAUAGCUCUGGGGUAGAGCAUGUGCUUGGCAUGCGUGAGGUCAUGGGUUCAAUCCUCAGUGCCUCCA